rfam:Dipodomys ordii contig_9598, whole genome shotgun sequence.
GGUGCUGUGGCUCAAGUGGUAGAGCACUUGCCUUGAGCUCAAGAGCUGAGGGUCAGCACCC